rnacentral:miRNA from 1 species
CACCUGCAGCUAGAUGGGUGCUGUCUCUCUCUGGACAAAUCUGGAGUUGCCAAAGAAGGCAUCAAGAAUCUUGUCCUUAAGGUCUUCCAUGGUCUUGAGGUAGUGGCAAUGGUCA